ensembl:snoRNA SNORD33 Small nucleolar RNA Z195/SNORD33/SNORD32 family
UCUGUCAAUGAUGAUUUAACUUACCUAGCUUGAGUUUAACGACCAUGAGAAAACUCACAUGCACUACCAUCUGAGACGGA